GUUUGAUUAAGACAUCUAGGGUUGCUAGACGCUAGUGACGGUGUGGCUGCGGUGAGAGUUGAACGUGUGGAGGUCCGGGCGAGUUGUCAACAUGGGACAGAAGAUGGUAUCUGGAAGUGCAGGCACUACACACUGAUGGAUCCAGUGUGCGAGUCGUUGGCAGAACUAGAAGUUUACUGGUGUGUGAAGACUUUUUCUACAGGCGCAGGAGAACAGGGAAUAGCUGUUGCAGGUAGUGAAGUGUAUAUAUAUGGCUGUGGUGAUGAGGGCAAAGUUGUCCAGGGCUGCAGGCUGCGUGUUACGUUAAUGGCGAAGCUUGUUCGAUCUAGCCGGACUUCAUCUUUCUCCAGUUCGUCGUCACACCGCGACGUUGCUGCACACCACAAUUACAGUUGUUGUUGUUGU